CCUACGGGUGGCUGCAGUGGGGAAUAUUGCACAAUGGGCGCAAGCCUGAUGCAGCCAUGCCGCGUGUGUGAAGAAGGCCUUCGGGUUGUAAAGCACUUUCAGCGGGGAGGAAGGCGUUAAGGUUAAUAACCUUGUCGAUUGACGUUACCCGCAGAAGAAGCACCGGCUAACUCCGUGCCAGCAGCCGCGGUAAUACGGAGGGUGCAAGCGUUAAUCGGAAUUACUGGGCGUAAAGCGCACGCAGGCGGUCUGUCAAGUCGGAUGUGAAAUCCCCGGGCUCAACCUGGGAACUGCAUUCGAAACUGGCAGGCUAGAGGCUUGUAGAGGGGGGUAGAAUUCCAGGUGUAGCGGUGAAAUUCGUAGAGAUCUGGAGGAAUACCGGUGGCGAAGGCGGCCCCCUGGACAAAGACUGACGCUCAGGUGCGAAAGCGUGGGGAGCAAACAGGAUUAGAUACCCUAGUAGUC
rnacentral:rRNA from 1 species